UACAGAGGUCCCAAGCGUUACUGAGAAUCACUGGGUUUAAAGGGUGCGUAGGUGGUCCGUUAAGUCAGUUGUGAAAUCCCCGGGCUCAACCCGGGAACUGCUUCUGAUACUGGCGGACUUGAGGCCAGUAGGGGUCACUAGAACUGACGGUGGAGCGGUGAAAUGCGUAGAGAUCGGAAAGAACACCAACGGCGAAGGCACUCUGCUGGGCCGACACUGACACUGAGAGACGAAAGCUAGGGGAGCAAAUGGG
rnacentral:rRNA from 1 species